AUGGCUUCCUUCUCCUCUUCCUCUACUAGCGUGAUCAUCGUCCUCUUGUUGCUCUUGCCCGUCCUCCUUGCGCCGCCGGCAAGUGCCAUCCCUGUACUUGCCGCAUGCAAGACCGUCGGCGGCGGGAGCACCUACUUCGACGUCACGUUCUGCCUGGAGGCCCUUGGCUCGAGCGGCGUGAAGAUUAAGGUGGGGGACACGGCCCUGGUGCGGCCCCUCCGGUCGUGCCAGUCGUUGUACGGCGGUAUAGUGCACGGUGGGCCUGCAUGCACCGCCGCGGUCAAGGGCGGGAAGUUCGGCGAUGCGGCGGCGAUUCUGGAGAAGGCAGCAGCCGCAGCGAAGGAGUGCGAGGGCGGGUUCAGGAAGAGCAAAGCGGCGCCGCUGACGGCGGAGGACGAUGACACGUUCAAGCUCGCAAAGCUCGGCGUCGCGUUACUCGGUUUGGCUUGA
rnacentral:rRNA from 1 species